GACGAACGCUGGCGGCGUGCUUAACACAUGCAAGUCGUACGGUGAGGCCCUUUCGGGGGUACACGAGUGGCGAACGGGUGAGUAACACGUGAGUAACCUGCCCACAACUUUGGGAUAACGCUAGGAAACUGGUGCUAAUACUGGAUAUGUGCUCCUGCUGCAUGGUGGGGGUUGGAAAGCUCCGGCGGUUGUGGAUGGACUCGCGGCCUAUCAGCUUGUUGGUGGGGUAGUGGCCUACCAAGGCGGCGACGGGUAGCCGGCCUGAGAGGGUGACCGGCCACAUUGGGACUGAGAUACGGCCCAGACUCCUACGGGAGGCAGCAGUGGGGAAUAUUGCACAAUGGGCGCAAGCCUGAUGCAGCAACGCCGCGUGCGGGAGGACGGACUUCGGGUUGUAAACCGCUUUCAGCAGGGACGAAGCUUUUUGUGACGGUACCUGCAGAAGAAGCACCGGCUAACUACGUG
rnacentral:rRNA from 1 species